rnacentral:rRNA from 1 species
UGGGGAAUAUUGCACAAUGGGCGCAAGCCUGAUGCAGCCAUGCCGCGUGUGUGAAGAAGGCCUUCGGGUUGUAAAGCACUUUCAGCGAGGAGGAAGGUGGUGAACUUAAUACGUUCAUCAAUUGACGUUACUCGCAGAAGAAGCACCGGCUAACUCCGUGCCAGCAGCCGCGGUAAUACGGAGGGUGCAAGCGUUAAUCGGAAUUACUGGGCGUAAAGCGCACGCAGGCGGUUUGUUAAGUCAGAUGUGAAAUCCCCGGGCUCAACCUGGGAACUGCAUUUGAAACUGGCAAGCUAGAGUCUCGUAGAGGGGGGCUAGAAUUCCAGGUGUAGCGGUGAAAUGCGUAGAGAUCUGGAGGAAUACCGGUGGCGAAGGCGCCCCCUGGACGAAGACUGACGCUCAGGUGCGAAA